rnacentral:tRNA from 1 species
UGGCUCAGAUGGUAAAGCAUCUGUCUACAAUGCAGGGGACCCAGGUUCGAUCCCUGG